rnacentral:rRNA from 1 species
AUUGAACGCUGGCGGCAUGCCUUACACAUGCAAGUCGAACGGCAGCAUGGAGAGCUUGCUCUCUGAUGGCGAGUGGCGAACGGGUGAGUAAUGCAUCGGAACGUACCGUGUAAUGGGGGAUAACGUAGCGAAAGUUACGCUAAUACCGCAUACGACCUGAGGGUGAAAGCAGGGGAUCGCAAGACCUUGCGUUAUACGAGCGGCCGAUGUCAGAUUAGCUAGUUGGUGAGGUAAAGGCUCACCAAGGCGACGAUCUGUAGCGGGUCUGAGAGGAUGAUACGCCACACUGGGACUGGGAAACGGCCCAGACUCCUACGGGAGGCAGCAGUGGGGAAUUUUGGACAAUGGGGGCAACCCUGAUCCAGCCAUGCCGCGUGAGUGAAGAAGGCCUUCGGGUUGUAAAGCUCUUUCGGCCGGGAAGAAAUCGCACAGGCUAAUACUCUGUGUGGAUGACGGUACCGGCAUAAGAAGCACCGGCUAACUACGUGCCAGCCGCCGCCGUAA